rnacentral:rRNA from 1 species
AUUGAACGCUGGCGGCAGGCCUAACACCUGCCAGUCGAACGAGCGGCGGACGGGUGAGUAAUGUCUGGGGAUCUGCCCGAUGGAGGGGGAUAACUACUGGAAACGGUGGCUAAUACCGCAUACUAUCGGAUGCACCCAUAGGGGAUUAGCUCGUAGGUGGGGUAAAGGCUCACCUAGGCGACGAUCUCUAGCUGGUCUGAGAGGAUGAUCAGCCACACUGGAACUGAGACACGGCCCAGACUCCUACGGGAGGCAGCAGUGGGGAAUAUUGCACAAUGGGCGCAAGCCGGAUGCAGCCAUGCCGCGUGUAUGAAGAAGGCCUUAGGGUUGUAAAGUACUUUCAGCGGGGAGGCGUUACCCGCAGAAGAAGCACCGGCUAACUCCGUGCCAGCAGCCGCGGUAAUAC